rnacentral:rRNA from 1 species
GAUGAACGCUGGCGGCGUGCCUAAUACAUGCAAGUCGAGCGAACGGACGAGAAGCUUGCUUCUCUGAUGUUAGCGGCGGACGGGUGAGUAACACGUGGAUAACCUACCUAUAAGACUGGGAUAACUUCGGGAAACCGUAGCUAAUACCGGAUAAUAUUUUGAACCGCAUGGUUCAAAAGUGAAAGACGGUCUUGCUGUCACUUAUAGAUGGAUCCGCGCUGCAUUAGCUAGUUGGUAAGGUAACGGCUUACCAAGGCAACGAUGCAUAGCCGACCUGAGAGGGUGAUCGGCCACCCUGGAACUGAGACACGGUCCAGACUCCUACGGUAGGCAGCAGUAGGGAAUCUUCCGCAAUGGGCGAAAGCCUGACGGAGCAACGCCGCGUGAGUGAUGAAGGUCUUCGGAUCGUAAAACUCUGUUAUUAGGGAAGAACAUAUGUGUAAGUAACUGUGCACAUCUUGACGGUACCUAAUCAGAAAGCCACGGCUAACUACGUG